rnacentral:rRNA from 2 species
CGGGUUGUCAUGCCAAUGGCACUGCCCGGUAGCUAAAUGCGGAAGAGAUAAGUGCUGAAAGCAUCUAAGCACGAAACUUGCCCCGAGAUGAGUUCUCCCUGAGACUUUAGGUCUCCUGAAGGAACGUUGAAGACGACGACGUUGAUAGGCCGGGUGUGUAAGCGCAGCGAUGCGUUGAGCUAACCGGUACUAAUGAACCGUGAGGCUUAACCUUACAACGCCGAAG